GCAGGGGUACCGAAGCGGCCAAACGGACCAGACUCAAGGAGCCUUUUUGAAAAAGAUUAACCAAAAGGGCUCGAGAAAUCUGGUGACUUAGUGUCUUCGGGGGUUCGAAUCCUCCCCCCUGCA
rnacentral:tRNA from 1 species